UAUAGUUUUUCGUUUUACCUCAAAAAAAACCACAACAGUCUGUUUCAUCCGUAUAGGAAUCAUCAGCUGAUGAUUUUCCGAAAAAUAUUUUUAAAAAAAGAUUUUGAAAAGUUUUAAAAGAGUUUUAAAAAGCAAAAAAAGUUCAAAAAGUUAGAUUUUCAAAAAAGUUAAAAAAAAGUUUAAAAAAUUAGGGUUAGAGGUUAGUGGUUAGGAGUUAGUGGUUAGAGGUUAGUAGUUAUGGGUUAGUGGUUAGGGGUUAGUAGUUAGGGGUUAGUGGUUAGGGGUUAGUGGUUAGGGUUGGGGUUAG